rnacentral:lncRNA from 1 species
AUGACAUCCUCUGACAGAUGUCUGCUGAGCAUCAGUGUUGUCUGUACCUCUAAAGACCUACACUGUUGUGUAACACAUUUUAACUGGUUAAGAGUUACCAAAGGGGUCAAUACCCCUCUAUUGGCCUUCAUAGGUGCAGAGCCAGAACAGAUUCAGCCAAAGCAAAUUGCACCAGGAAAAGGUCACAGUCCAGCUUUCCAGUUUUACUUCUCCAAGGACUUCACAAACAAAGGUUCAACACAGAGCGCAAGCCACAGAGAUGGAUGCAUGACGGGUGCACAUCCCUGCAAGCAUGGGCAGCGAUUCCUCAGUCUAUGAAUAGAUGUCUCACUGACUAAUGAGCAGCCACUGCGAUUUAUUACCAGCACUGAAACUGAUCUCCUGGCUUGAAAACUGGCAUCUUCAUCACGUCAGACAUUUUUUC